AAUCAACGCUGGCGGCGUGCCUCAGACAUGCAAGUCGAACGCGAAAGUCUCCUUCGGGGGACGAGUAGAGUGGCGCACGGGUGAGUAACACGUAGGUAAUUUGCCUUUGGGUGGGGAAUAACUCAGGGAAACUUGAGCUAAUACCGCAUAAUGCAGCGGCAUUUAAGUAUGACAGUUGUUAAAGCGGAGGAUCGUAAGACUUCGCGCCUAAAGAGAAGCCUGCGGCAGAUUAGCUAGUUGGUAAGGUAAUGGCUUACCAAGGCGACGAUCUGUAACC
rnacentral:rRNA from 1 species